rnacentral:rRNA from 1 species
GAUGAACGCUGGCGGCGUGCCUAAUACAUGCAAGUCGAGCGAAUGGAUUAAGAGCUUGCUCUUAUGAAGUUAGCGGCGGACGGGUGAGUAACACGUGGGUAACCUGCCCAUAAGACUGGGAUAACUCCGGGAAACCGGGGCUAAUACCGGAUAACAUUUUGAACCGCAUGGUUCGAAAUUGAAAGGCGGCUUCGGCUGUCACUUAUGGAUGGACCCGCGUCGCAUUAGCUAGUUGGUGAGGUAACGGCUCACCAAGGCAACGAUGCGUAGCCGACCUGAGAGGGUGAUCGGCCACACUGUGACUGAGACACGGCCCAGACUCCUACGGGAGGCAGCAGUAGGGAAUCUUCCGCAAUGGACGAACGUCUGACGGAGCAACGCCGCGUGAGUGAUGAAGGCUUUCGGGUCGUAAAACUCUGUUGUUAGGGAAGAACAAGUGCUAGUUGAAUAAGCUGACACCUUGACGGUACCUAACCAGAAAGCCACGGCUAACUACGUGCCAGCCGCCGCCGUAA